AGGAAUGUAGCUUAGUGGUAGAGUGCUUGCCUCUAAUGCAUGAAACCCUGGGUUAGAUUCCUCACUACCA
rfam:Dipodomys ordii contig_12505, whole genome shotgun sequence.